rnacentral:misc_RNA from 1 species
UUUCCGUAGGUGAACCUGCGGAAGGAUCAUUAUUGAAUGAACUUGGCGUGGUUGUCGUUGGCCCUCUAGGGGGUAUGUGCACGCCCGUCAUCUUUAUCUUUCCACCUGUGCACACUUUGCAGAUUUGGAUAGUACUUUCCGAGGCAACUCGGUCGAGAGGACUUGCUGUGCUUUAAUGUCAGCUCUCCUUGCAUUAUCCAGGCCUAUGUUUUCAUAUACCCCAAAGAAUGUAACAUAAUGUAUUAUUGAGCCUUGUGCCUAUAAACUAUAUACAACUUUCAGCAACGGAUCUCUUGGCUCUC